rnacentral:rRNA from 1 species
GAUGAACGCUGGCGGCGUGCCUAAUACAUGCAAGUCGAGCGAAUGGAUUGAGAGCUUGCUCUUAUGAAGUUAGCGGCGGACGGGUGAGUAACACGUGGGUAACCUGCCCAUAAGACUGGGAUAACUCCGGGAAACCGGGGCUAAUACCGGAUAACAUUUUGAACCGCAUGGUUCGAAAUUGAAAGGCGGCUUCGGCUGCCACUUAUGGAUGGACCCGCGUCGCAUUAGCUAGUUGGUGAGGUAACGGCUCACCAAGGCAACGAUGCGUAGCCGACCUGAGAGGGUGAUCGGCCACACUGGGACUGAGACACGGCCCAGACUCCUACGGGAGGCAGCAGUAGGGAAUCUUCCGCAAUCGACGAAAGUCUGACGGAGCAACGCCGCGUGAGUGAUGAAGGCUUUCGGGUCGUAAAACUCUGUUGUUAGGGAAGAACAAGUGCUAGUUGAAUAAGCUGGCACCUUGACGGUACCUAACCAGAAAGCCACGGCUAACUACGUGCCAGCAGCCGCAGUAA